CAUAAAUUGUGUGACUAGGUCCACCACAGAACAGGCUUUGGUGGUUGAGUGGUUCACCGCAGAGGAUUUCUAUUAGGGCAGGGCAGUGCAGAAUGUCAGCAAUGCAUUGGGAGGCACGGCGGCGGCAGUUUGUUCUGGCUCACAGGUUGUGCACCCAUACGAAGAAGACCAAGGAAAACCAAAAUCCUGAACAGAAGACAGCAAAGGAAAGCCGACCUGAACAGCCUGUUGUACCAGAUCAGUCAAAUCCUCUUGCCAUGCCAGGUGAUGAGGAAACCAGUCACAGGAUUACAGACUUCAGCGAGAAUAAUUCUACCACCACAAAUGCUAAAAGAAAAGGCUACAGUGCCAAGAUUGAGAAUAGAUACACUUCCAUACAGUAUGCCCAGCAGUGGUGACAUCCGAGUAGUUCAACUUUCACUCUACUCUGAGAGCAACAUUCCAUCCUUUCAAGCCCUCCAACUUGUCCAUCAAAUGGCAUCAGCAGGCAACAAUUAAGACAAAUAAAAUCAAAACCUUC